UACGGAGGGGGCUAGCGUUGUUCGGAGUUACUGGGCGUAAAGCGCACGUAGGCGGCUUUGUAAGUUAGAGGUGAAAGCCCGGGGCUCAACCCCGGAACUGCCUUUGAAACUAGAUAGCUAGAAUCUUGGAGAGGUCAGUGGAAUUCCGAGUGUAGAGGUGAAAUUCGUAGAUAUUCGGAAGAACACCAGUGGCGAAGGCGACUGACUGGACAAGUAUUGACGCUGAGGUACGAAAGCGUGGGGAGCAAACAGG
rnacentral:rRNA from 1 species